UACGGAGGGUGCAAGCGUUGUCCGGAUUUAUUGGGUUUAAAGGGUGCGUAGGCGGCCCGUUAAGUCAGUGGUGAAAUCCCAGGGCUCAACCCUGGGACUGCCAUUGAUACUGAUGGGCUUGAGUUCGGUCGAGGCGGGCGGAACUGGUGGUGUAGCGGUGAAAUGCAUAGAUACCGUCAAGAACCCCGAUUGCGUAGGCAGCUCGCUGUGCCGAAACUGACGCUGAGGCACGAAAGCGUGGGGAGCGAACAGG
rnacentral:misc_RNA from 1 species